UCUCCUGUAGCUCAGUGGUAGAGCGCCUGACUGGUGUGCAGAAGGUCAUAGGUUCGACUCUUGUUGGGAGAA
rnacentral:tRNA from 1 species